rnacentral:rRNA from 1 species
UACGAAGGGGGCUAGGCGUUGUUCGGAAUUACUGGCGUAAGCGCACGUAGGCGGAUCCUUAAGUCAGGGGUGAAAUCCCGAGGCUCAACCUCGGAACUGCCUUUGAUACUGGGGAUAUCGAGUCCGGGAGAGGUGAGUGGAACUGCGAGUGUAGAGGUGAAAUUCGUAGAUAUUCGCAAGAACACCAGUGGCGAAGGCGGCUCACUGGCCCGGUACUGACGCUGAGGUGCGAAAGCGUGGGGAGCAACAGGAUUAA